CCCAGUGUGAUUCGUCACACUAUCAUUAACUGAAUCCAUAGGUUAAUGAGGCGAACCGGGGGAACUGAAACAUCUAAGUACCCCGAGGAAAAGAAAUCAACCGAGAUUCCCCCAGUAGCGGCGAGCGAACGGGGAGCAGCCCAGAGCCUGAAUCAGUGUGUGUGUUAGUGGAAGCGUCUGGAAAGGCGUGCGAUACAGGGUGACAGCCCCGUACACAAAAAUGCACAUACUGUGAGCUCGAUGAGUAGGGCGGGACACGUGGUAUCCUGUCUGAAUAUGGGGGGACCAUCCUCCAAGGCUAAAUACUCCUGACUGACCGAUAGUGAACCAGUACCGUGAGGGAAAGGCGAAAAGAACCCCGGCGAGGGGAGUGAAAAAGAACCUGAAACCGUGUACGUACAAGCAGUGGGAGCACGCUUAGGCGUGUGACUGCGUACCUUUUGUAUAAUGGGUCAGCGACUUAUAUUCUGUAGCAAGGUUAACCGAAUAGGGGAGCCGAAGGGAAACCGAGUCUUAACUGGGCGUUAAGUUGCAGGGUAUAGACCCGAAACCCGGUGAUCUAGCCAUGGGCAGGUUGAAGGUUGGGUAACACUAACUGGAGGACCGAACCGACUAAUGUUGAAAAAUUAGCGGAUGACUUGUGGCU
rnacentral:rRNA from 1 species